rnacentral:rRNA from 1 species
GACGAACGCUGGCGGCGUGCCUAAUACAUGCAAGUCGGGCGGGGUUUUGGGGAGCUUGCUCCUUAAAACCCAGCGGCGGACGGGUGAGUAACACGUGGGCAACCUGCCCGCAAGACCGGG